UACAGAGGGUGCAAGCGUUAUCCGGAUUCACUGGGUUUAAAGGGUGCGUAGGUGGGCAGGUAAGUCAGUGGUGAAAUCACCGAGCUUAACUUGGGAACUGCCGUUGAUACUUUCUGUCUUGAAUGCUGUGGAGGUAAGCGGAAUAUGUCAUGUAGCGGUGAAAUGCUUAGAGAUGACAUAGAACACCAAUUGCGAAGGCAGCUUGCUACACAGAAAUUGACCAUGAGGCACGAAAGCGUUGGGAGCAAACAGG
rnacentral:rRNA from 1 species